rnacentral:rRNA from 1 species
AGUGAACGCUGGCGGUAGGCCUAACACAUGCAAGUCGAACGGCAGCACAGUAAGAGCUUGCUCUUACGGGUGGCGAGUGGCGGACGGGUGAGGAAUACAUCGGAAUCUACUUUUUCGUGGGGGAUAACGUAGGGAAACUUACGCUAAUACCGCAUACGACCUACGGGUGAAAGCAGGGGAUCUUCGGACCUUGCGCGAUUGAAUGAGCCGAUGUCGGAUUAGCUAGUUGGCGGGGUAAAGGCCCACCAAGGCGACGAUCCGUAGCUGGUCUGAGAGGAUGAUCAGCCACACUGGAACUGAGACACGGUCCAGACUCCUACGGGAGGCAGCAGUGGGGAAUAUUGGACAAUGGGCGCAAGCCUAGUCCAGCCAUACCGCGUGGGUGAAGAAGGCCUUCGGGUUCUAAAGCCCUUUUGUUGGGAAAGAAAAGCAGCAGGUUAAUACCCCGCUGUUCUGACGGUACCCAAAGAAUAAGCACCGGCUAACUUCGUG